GUCCGCUCGGUCCAGACCUAAACCCCGCUGAAGAGCUGGCUCUCCAGCAGAAUGCCCAUCGCCCUGUGUCUCAGGGCAUUGAAGGGGGAAACUCCUCGUCGGAGCCAGUGGCAGGAUGCAGCAGCGGUCACUUCAUUUCAGUUGCAGGGAAUGUCAUAACCCUUGAACCUGUGUCUGACCAAUGAGACAUUGGCCCAUGUGAUGUAGUUGAUGAAGACAGUGUCUGACCAUUCAUCAGGGGAAGAGGAGCCCAGUGCCAGCACACAUGUCCCUUCUGGAACACGAUUCACAUCAAGAAGAGGAGAUGGUGAGAAAAAUGUACGUGUUUUGUACAAGAGAUACCUUCAACAGAAAAUCACAUACAGGAAACUGAAAAUGAGGAAAAUCCAGCAGGAC